GACGAACGCUGGCGGCGUGCUUAACACAUGCAAGUCGAACGCUGAAGCUCAGCUUUUGUUGGGUGGAUGAGUGGCGAACGGGUGAGUAACACGUGAGUAACCUGCCCCCUUCUUUGGGAUAACGCCCGGAAACGGGUGCUAAUACUGGAUAUUCACUGGUCUUCGCAUGGGUGUUGGUGGAAAGGGUUUUUCUGGUGUGGGAUGGGCUCGCGGCCUAUCAGCUUGUUGGUGGGGUGAUGGCCUACCAAGGCUUUGACGGGUAGGCGGCCUGAGCGGGUGAACGGUAACAUAGGGACUGAGAUGCGGCCCAGACUAGGACGGGGGGCAGAAGUGGGGAAUAUUGCCCAAUGGGCGCAAGCGUGAUGCAGCGACGCGGCGUGAGGGAUGGAGGCCUUAGGGUUGUGAACCUCUUUCGGUCAUGGUCAAGCCGCAACAAUGGUUGUGGUGAGGGUAGUGGGUAAAGAAGCGCCGGCUAACUACGUG
rnacentral:rRNA from 1 species